AAAAAAAGACAAUCUGAGUUUCCGUGUCUAACGUUUGACUAUCCGUUUUAUAUGAUGUUUUUUAUAAUUAGUAUUUUCAUUAUUGUUAGAUGAUAAAACAUGAUUAAUACUUUAUGCGUAACUUGUCUUUUUAAUUUUUUUUAUAUUUUUUUUAAAUAAGACGGACGGUCAAACGUUGGACACGGAAACUCAGGGUUUGUCUUUUU
rfam:Oryza sativa Japonica Group DNA, chromosome 4, cultivar: Nipponbare, complete sequence.